GAAUCUUGCACAAUGGGGGCAACCCUGAUGCAGCGACGCCGCGUGAGUGAUGAAGCCCUUCGGGGUGUAAAGCUCUUUCGGCAGGAACGAUAAUGACGGUACCUGAAGAAGAAUCUGCGGCUAACUACGUUCCAGCAGCCGCGGUAAUACGUAGGCAGCGAGCGUUGUUCGGAAUUACUGGGCGUAAAGAGUGUGUAGGCGGUUUUCCAAGUUUGGUGUGAAAUCUCCCGGCUUAACUGGGAGGGUGCGCCGAAAACUGGGAGGCUUGAGUAUGGGAGAGGGAAGCGGAAUUCCUGGUGUAGCGGUGAAAUGCGUAGAUAUCAGGAGGAACACCUGUGGUGUAGGCGGCUGCCUGGACCAUUACUGACGCUGAGACACGAAAGCGUGGGGAGCAAACAGG
rnacentral:rRNA from 1 species